rnacentral:snRNA from 1 species
GUGGCAGUACAUUUACUACAAUUGGAACAAUUCAGAGUGGAGUUAGAGGGCCCCAGCACAAGGAUGCUACAUAAUCUGUGAAUUAUUUCAUGUUUAA